AUUUAUUUUUUAAAAUAUAUAACAACAAUGUCUCCUAUUAAAAUUGUUUCACCAUUUUUAUUAAUUGAAUAAUUUGUGCCCAUCUCAUUGCAUAAACUUGUAAGAUCAAUAAAACUGUUUGUGUCCAUUUUAGUAGUACAAUACAGUGUCUCGUUUUUCUAAGCAACUUUAAUUAUUGAAACCCAUUGUGCAGGGAUAUACACUAGUCCACUUUUUAAUGCACGUUUUUUUUGAUUUUCUAUUCGACCAUGCAUGGAGUAAACAGUUAUUUGGGUAUGUCUAGUAGUUAAAAACGAUUGUGUUAUUUCUGAAAUGGUAUAAAUUUACAUAACAAUAUACAUAUAAAGAGUAUACAUUUAUCU